rnacentral:lncRNA from 1 species
GGUAAACAUGCUAAGUUUGCCUGGCUGGCACACAUGCCUAGGCACAACAAUCUGCCCCAGCACCGCACGGCAAGGCGCGCUGCAGGUCAUUUAUAUAGCAUCUCCUCAUUUGUAUAUUAUUCACAUAUAGCAUCUCAUUUCUUGGUUGAUUGCUUACAUGUAUUAAACUUCUGGCUCUUUCGCUCCCAAGCUGGCCUCCCUCUCCUUGGUGCUCAGCGGCAGAAGCACGAGGCGCUGCACCUUUGACCCCGUAGUGCUCGGCUCCAAUUCAUCAGGGAGGCCACCGGCAAGCAUGAAGCUGCCCUUGGUGCUUCCUCCUCAUCAAGGAGGAGGAGGUCGGGUAGCGCCGUCCUCAAGGUACGUCCUCGCUGCUUUGACCCGCCUCUCUCGUGCACCUGUCCUUCCCUAUUUCUCUUACUGUCGCGGUGCUCGUGCCGCUGCCGAUCCUAACCUAGGUCGCCGUCACUCCUCGGCGCUUCGCAGGACAGGCACAACCGCGACACCGCAGAGACGGGCGAGGAUGUGGUGCUGCUCCUUCUUGUGGUGUAUGCAUUGACGUUGCUUGCGGUAGUGAUGCAUAUCUUCGUGGGCAAUGCUAUUUGAAGACCAUUCAAGUGAUUUAAGGGAGAAGAUGUCCAGAAUGUAAGGAGGUUGAAGAUGACGACCAAGAGGUUGACAUAUUAAGCGGCUGCCAAGAAGCCAAUAAUGCUUGCCCCCUGCCAUUAGUAAUACCCGCUCUUCUUUAUGAAAUCUUUCCUAACUAUCGUUGCAGAUUGUGAGAUCCCUAUUUAAAUACAUCACUCAGCGUCUGGCCGGUACAGAGUUGCAUGGCAGGCAUAUGUGUUCUCAGCCACCUUAUCAAUUGUAGGCUUAGAAUGAUUUGCUUCGUCCAAGUGUUGUUCGUCAACAAUUUUUUUGUUUGUCCAUGUCAAUUCUGAUUUUAGAGGAUACAUAUGUUUUGGUAGGAAGUGUAUUGUUCUUAUGUUUUUUCCUGGUAUGUACUGACUGAUGCAGUAAUUGAUGUUUCAGAUUAUGAAAUCCCUAUUUAAUAAAUCGCUCGGUAAUUGUCUUGU